rnacentral:misc_RNA from 1 species
GGUUGGAUCAUUACUGAUUUUGCCAAAGAUAGUCGAGUCUCUCUAAGAGAUUCCUUUCUGAGGUAAUAAACCACUGUGCACUAUGCUGUAUUUUGGGUGCUUGAGACUCUUUAUGGGGAUCGACACCCAGCAACAUAUGAACCAAUGAAAUUUUUUGUCUGAAAUCGAUUCUAAAUUGAAACAACUUUUGACAACGGAUCUCUUGGCUCUCGCAACGAUGAAGAACGCAGCGAAAUGCGAUACGUAAUGUGAAUUGCUUUCCGUGAAUCAUCGAAUCUUUGAACGCACAUUGCACUCCUCUGGAGUAUGCCUGUUUGAGAAUCUAUAGUAUUCUUUUUUGCUUUGUUUCUUUGGAAGCAAAGUGAGAGAUAUGAGGUAUCCCUACUUGUAGGGUGCUUUGAAUUAGAUUGUCUCUGUCUUGUAGAAAAUGACGACGUUUUUCACAACCUACAGAAAAGUAUUUGAAUGGAACCUUGGUUUCUUAUGAUGCUGAAUAAGUAGGCGAAAGAAAGAGUUUUCGGAAGACUGGGGUCCAUAAAUUGAAAGCUUUCGAGCUUGAACCAUGGUCUCAAAUCAGGUAGGAAGACCCGCUGAACUUAAGCAUAUCAAUAAGCGGAGGAAAAGAAACUAACAAGGAUUCCCCUAGUAACGGCGAGUGAAGCGGGAACAGCUCAAAUUUGAAAUCUCCUUCGGGCGAAUUGUAGUUUAGAGAAGCGUUUUCUGUUGGCGGAUAGGUACAAGUUCUUUGGAACAAGACAUCAUAGAGGGUGAAAAUCCCGUCUUUGACCUAUCUCAAGACUUUGUGAUACGUUUUCCAAGAGUCGGUUUGUUUGGGAAUGCAGACCAAAAUGGGAGGUAAAUACCUUCUAAAGCUAAAUAUUGGCGAGAGACCGAUAGCGAACAAGUACCGUGAGGGAAAGAUGAAAAGAACUUUGAAAAGAGAGUUAAACAGUACGUGAAAUUGUCAAAAGGGAAACGUUUGAAACCAGUAUUGCUGGCAGGAAUUCAGCUACUAUUUAUAGUGGUGUACUUUUCUGUCGGCGAGUCAACAUCAGUUUGAUUCGGAGCAAAAAGCCAUAGGAAGGUAGCCUUCGGGUAUUAUAGCCUAUGGUCCUACUCUGGGUUGGACUGAGGACUGCAGCGCUUUUGCCUUCGGGACACCAACGCUUAGGAUGUUGACGAAAUGGUUUUAAGCGACCCGUCUUGAAACACGGACCAAGGAGUCUAACAUAUAUGCGAGUAUUUGGGUGGUAAACCCUUGUGCGUAAUGAAAGUGAAAAGGUGGGAUCCUUAAAGGUGCACCAUCGACCGCGCCAGAUUAUUACUAUCUCGGCGUGAGUAUGAGCAUACAUGCUGGGACCCGAAAGAUGGUGAACUAUGCCUGAAUAGGGUGAAGCCAGAGGAAACUCUGGUGGAGGCUCGUAGAGGUUCUGACGUGCAAAUCGAUCUUCAAAUUUGGGUAUAGGGGCGAAAGACUAAUCGAACCAUCUAGUAGCUGGUUCCCUC